GAAAUGCGAUACGUAGUGUGAAUUGCAGAAUUCCGUGAAUCAUCGAAUCUUUGAACGCAUAUUGCGCUCGAGGCUUCGGCCAAGAGCAUGUCUGCCUCAGCGUCGGGUUAAUCUCACUGCCCAUAGCCAGCAAUGACUAUGCAGUGGAUCUGGCCGUUUCAGCAACAGGCCCAUGCGCUUCUGCGCUUGGAUCACCUAGCUGGAUCGGCUGAAGAGCAGAGUGCUGACCAAGGACCCUCUAUGGGACCGCAACUGGGUAGGCAGUAAUGCUAAUGCUUAGUUGUUGGUCUUGGGACCAUGGGCCAGCCCUUAACCAGGAAACCUCUUAACCCAUUAUCUCGACCUGAGCUCAGGCAAGAACACCCGCUGAACUUAA
rnacentral:misc_RNA from 1 species